CAGAACACAACAGAGUGAGAUGGACACCGGAAGCAUUUAAAGAGGAAAAAGAGUCAAGUGGGUCACCGCCUGUCUCUAUCUGCACUGUGGCGAACAGAGGGAGUCGUGUUGUCAUUUCCUCUGCAGCAAACCCCAGGAGAAAUUUCAUGCAUUUCCAAAUUUAUUUACUAGGAGCCCUGGAUAGCAGCCACCCUUCAUUUCGAAGACUCUCCUGCUGAAGAAGGUGGAAUAUGAGACGCUGCAGUGGCCCAGAUUAGACAUGGAAGAGGAGAUGAUGCUCAACAGCCGCAUAAUGAGCUCCCUUUGGAGGAUAAACGUAGGGAUGAAUGUCUGCUUUUGUGUCGGGGUCAAAACAUUUCAGACUUUCUGGGGUUCAAGGACACACUUUUAGCUAAGCCCCGCCUGGUUCACCUAACAUUUGAAAUUGUCAUAAUUUAUGUAAGUACAUAAAUUAACUCCAUUCUGAAUGAUACAGGCAGCCAGUGAAGGGAUCUGAGUGUUGGAGAGAGCGAGUUAACAUUGGUCUAGCUGCAGUCAUUUCUUUUUGAAGAAUGUUGGUAUCAAAAGCAGUUUUGGUGCCGACUGGUUUCCAUUGAAUAGAAAUGAUAUAAUUUGUGUGUGUGUGUGUGUGUGUCAACUACCUAUCCCUUUUAAAAGAAUUACCCAUCCUGCAUUAGCAACUGUCUGAAAAGAAGCUGAAGAAGCGAAGUCUUCGGGCUUUAUUGUGUUAUCACUGACUACUUUUGUAUUUGAUUUUAAUGUAUGAAACAGUUUCUUACUGCACUGUAAAAAAA